UGCGUAGGCGGUCUUGUGUGUCGGAUGUGAAAGCCCACGGCUCAACCGUGGAAUUGCAUCCGAAACUACAUGACUAGAGUGCAGGAGGGGAGAGCGGAAUUCAGGGUGUAGCGGUGAAAUGCGUUGAUAUCCUGAAGAACACCGGUGGCGAAGGCGGCUCUCUGGAAUGUUACUGACGCUGAGGCACGAAAGCUGGGGGAGCAAACAGGAUUAGAUACCCUGGUAGUCC
rnacentral:rRNA from 1 species